rnacentral:rRNA from 1 species
GACGAACGCUGGCGGCGUGCCUAAUACAUGCAAGUCGAGCGGAACUGGGGGAGCUUGCUCCUUCCAGUUUAGCGGCGGACGGGUGAGUAACACGUGGGCAACCUGCCCUGCAGAUCGGGAUAACUCCGGGAAACCGGUGCUAAUACCGAAUAGUUUGGCGCCUCUCCUGAGGCGCUACGGAAAGACGGUUUCGGCUGUCACUGCAGGAUGGGCCCGCGGCGCAUUAGCUAGUUGGUGGGGUAACGGCCCACCAAGGCGACGAUGCGUAGCCGGCCUGGGGGGGUGACCGGCCACACUGGGACUGAGACACGGCCCAGACUCCUACGGGAGGCAGCAGUAGGGAAUCUUCCGCAAUGGACGCAAGUCUGACGGAGCAACGCCGCGUGAGUGACGAAGGUUUUCGGAUCGUAAAACUCUGUUGUGAGGGAAGAACACGUACCAACUAACUAUUGGUACCUUGACGGUACCUCACCAGAAAGCCACGGCUAACUACGUGCCAGCAGCCGCGGUAA